rnacentral:rRNA from 1 species
CCUAGGGGGUGCAGCAGUGGGGAAUAUUGGACAAUGGGCGAAAGCCUGAUCCAGCCAUGCCGCGUGUGUGAAGAAGGCCUUCGGGUUGUAAAGCACUUUCAGUGGGGAAGAAAGCCUUGGGGCUAAUACCCUCGAGGAAGGACAUCACCCACAGAAGAAGCACCGGCUAACUCCGUGCCAGCAGCCGCGGUAAUACGGAGGGUGCGAGCGUUAAUCGGAAUUACUGGGCGUAAAGCGCGCGUAGGUGGUCUGAUAAGCCGGUUGUGAAAGCCCCGGGCUCAACCUGGGAACGGCAUCCGGAACUGUCAGGCUAGAGUGCAGGAGAGGAAGGUAGAAUUCCCGGUGUAGCGGUGAAAUGCGUAGAGAUCGGGAGGAAUACCAGUGGCGAAGGCGGCCUUCUGGACUGACACUGACGCUGAGGUGCGAAAGCGUGGGUAGCAAACAGGAUUAGAUACCCCUGUAGUC